GGACUCGUAGCUCAGCUGGAUAGAGCAUCUCCCUUCUAAGGAGACGGUCGUAGGUUCGAAUCCUACCGGGUUCA
rnacentral:tRNA from 1 species